GAUGAACGCUGGCGGCGUGCCUAAUACAUGCAAGUCGAGCGAACAGACGAGGAGCUUGCUCCUUUGACGUUAGCGGCGGACGGGUGAGUAACACGUAGGUAACCUACCUAUAAGACUGGGAUAACUUCGGGAAACCGGAGCUAAUACCGGGUAAUAUUUCGAACCGCAUGGUUCGAUAGUGAAAGAUGGCUUUGCUAUCACUUAUAGAUGGACCUGCGCCGUAUUAGCUAGUUGGUAAGGUAACGGCUUACCAAGGCAACGAUACGUAGCCGACCUGAGAGGGUGAUCGGCCACACUGGAACUGAGACACGGUCCAGACGCCUACGGGAGGCAGCAGUAGGGAAUCUUCCGCAAUGGGCGAAAGCCUGACGGAGCAACGCCGCGUGAGUGAUGAAGGUCUUCGGAUCGUAAAACUCUGUUAUUAGGGAAGAACAAACGUGUAAGUAACUGUGCACGUCUUGACGGUACCUAAUCAGAAAGCCACGGCUAACUACGUG
rnacentral:rRNA from 1 species